CCUCAAUACACUGAGCCCGCCAUGGCUGUUUUUGCCCCUUAGUCAUCUGCUUUCUCAAGCCCCACGCUUCUCACAUUCUCUCUCCUGCUCGUCGCCAAGCCGAAGGUCGCUAUCCUUCUCAACACAUCACGACCAUUGAGCCGCCGCUGCUUCAGUCGAGCAACCGCCUCUGCGGUUAAAACUUCUUCAAUACAACAACAUUCAUCGACAAACGCCGGCGACGAGCCCCAACAAGCUUCUGAUAUCACAUUUCAACAACCAUUCAAAGACUCCAGGUUCCAAGAGCUACUACCUCGCCUUCCCCUUAGUAAUCCCCUUGCUCAAGCCCCACGCUUCCCACCUUUUCUCUCGUACGCGUCUCCAAGCCGAGAGCUAUCCUUCUCAAUGCACCACCACCGUUCGGCCGCCGCUGCUUCAGUUGAAAAGUCGCCUCGGCGGUUAACACUUCUUUAAUUCAACAAUAUUCCUCAACAAACGUCAGCGAUGAGCCGCCGAAAGCUUCUAUUCUCACAUUUCAACAAGCCACUUAAAGGCUUCAGGUUCCAAGAACUAGGCACCUCAUUCAUCAGGAGAAUCUAGACCUCAUGUGUCAAGAAAAUACUGAAAGAAGGUUUAUGGAACAAGGGAAGCAAAUGAAGCUAGCAGAAGCUCACAUCGAAAUUAUACUUUGAACAAUGGAUAUGAUUUGCACGCACCUGUUCAUAUCCAAUUAAGCCAGCCCCAACCUCCUUGCAAGGAUAGUCACCAUUUCAGAACGAUACCCCUUAUAGCUCAGUACCUUCACUGUUUUCAAUUCUCUGGGUGAUGACACCAAAGGUCCAAUACAAAGGGAAUAUCGGGCAUCGGUUCGAUAUGCAGUAGCGCAAUGCCGCAACAUAUAAGUAAUGUUAGAGUUGGGACUAUGAAUGCUUUGACAUUCUUAAUACUUCUUGGGCCAGAACCAUGGAAUGUUGUGUAAGUCUUUCGAAGCAAGUUUCUAUAAGUUAAAGAAUAUCUUGUACAUUUCAAUAAUUCUUUUUGUGUCUAAGUCUGUUUUUUGAUGAUUAUUUGUUGAGAACACUUUUCUUCGUGUGCUUUAUGUAUGAGCUUAAAUAUAGGGGGGAGGUUAAAUGCGUUAUUGGAUGUUUUAGGUUCUGGCUGUUUGGCCCGUGAUGCAUGGACUUUCAUCCAUUUUCAGUUAUGUUUUCUUCCAGUUAUUUAUUUUGUUGUUGUUGUGCAUUAUUGUUUGCUUUUGCACAAUCAUGCAUGAGGACUUUUCAUGCUUAUUAGUAAUGGAAAAUGCAAAGUUUGCAGAAGCUUCUCUGAUUAACUUAUUUAAUAUGCUAUCAUACUUCAUUAGAAUUUUGUUGAAUUCAUUCAAGGUGCAAGAGAGCAUUUUAUUUUUUGAAACUCAUGAUGGAUUUGAGUGGUUACUUAAGGUGAAAACCACUUUGUGUUGUUUAGAGAAAAAAAAUAAAUAAAUUUUAAGGGUGUGGCAUGUGGCAUUCCUAUUAUACAUUAGGUAUAAUGGUGCCUAUAUGUGAAUCUUAUCUAGUUUUAUGGUGCAUUCCUAUAAUUUGAUCAAAGGUAUUAUGGUUCAAAAUACAUAAUGAUAGAUUUGUUAUGGCAUUCUUAAUGUGUAAUAAAGGCACAAUGGUGCUUAUGUAACAUAUACUUUAUGUGAUAAUUUGACACUCCAAUUGUUCAUUAAUGUACAAUGAUGUCCAUUGAGAAUUUUGUUUUUUUAAUCAUGACCACAUGAAAUUGUUUCAUACUUAUGAUGGAUUUGGUUGGUUAGUUACCUUAAGGGUGAGAACUGCUUUGUGGUGUUUAAGAAAUAAAAAAAUUGUAAAGUGUAAGCAUGUGGCAUUCCUGUUUGUAUUAAGAUAUAAUGGUGCUAAUAUGUGAAUAUAACAUUUUGGUAUAUGGUGCAUUCUUAUUAUUUAAUUCAAGGUAUUUUGGUGCAAACUAUAUAUUAAUAUAUUUGAAGUGGCAUUCCUAUUGUGUAAUAAAGGCACAAUGGUGCUUACAUGAACAUAUAGUAUCAAUUGACAAUUCCUUUUGUUUCAUACUCAUGAUGGAUUUGGUUGGUUACCUUAAGAUGGGAACCACUUUGUGGUGUUUAAAGAAGUAAAUAAACUAUAAGGUGUGGGUAUGUGAUAUUCCUAUUAUACAUUAAGGUAUAAUGGUGCCAUUAUAUAAAUCUAAUAUCUUUGUAUAUGGUGCAUUCUUGUUUUACCAUUGAGGUAUAAUGGUGCGAAAUAGAUAUUAAAUAUAUUUGACAUGGCAUUCCUAUUGUGCAAUAAAGGCACAAUGAUGCUUAUGUGAACAUAUAUCUUUAUGUUUUAAUUAGACAUUCCAAUUGUACAUUAUGGUAUAAUGGUGUCUAUAUUGAGAAUUCCAUUUUUUUAAUCAUGACCACAUGGAAUUGUUCCAUACACUUGUUGGAUUGGUUGGUUAGUUACCUUAAAGGUCAGAACUACUUUGUGGUGUUAGGAGAUAUAGAAAAACUUGGUGUAGGCAUAAGACAUUCCUAUUAUAAGUUAAGGAAUGACGAUGUCAAUUUGUGAAUCUAGCAUCUUGGUAUAUGGUUCAUUCUUAUUAUUUAAUCCAAGGUAUGUUGGUACAAGAUAUUAAUAUAUUUAAAGUGGCAUUCCUAUUGUGUAAUAAAGGCGCAAUGGUGCUUAUAUGAAUAUAUAAUAUCAAUUAAGAAUUCUUUUUGUUUCAUACUCAUGAUGGAUAUGGUUGUUGACCUUAAAGUGAAAACCACUUUGUGGUAUUUGCUGAAGUAAAUAAACUAUAAGAUGUGGACAUGUGGCAUUUCUAUUAUACAUUAAGGUAUAAUGGUGCCGAUAUAUAAAUCUAACACUUUGUAUAUGGUGCAUUCUUGUUUUACCAUUGAAGGUAUAAUGGCGCGAAAUAGAUAUUUAAUAUAUUUUGACAUGACAUUCCAAUUAUGAAAUUCCUAUUGUGAAAUAAAAGCACAAUGGUGCUUAUUUGAGCAUAUACCUUUAUGUGUUAAUUUGACAUUCCGAUUGCAUAUUAAGGUGCAAUGGUGUCAAUUGAGAAUUUUUAUUUUUAAUCAUGACUACAUGGAAUUGUUUCAUACUUAUGAUGGAUUUGGUUGGUUAGUUACCUUAAAGGUGGAACUUCAUUGUGGUGUUCGGAAAAAUAGAAAAACAUUAAGGUAUAAGCAUGUAGCAUUCUUAUUAUAUAUUAAGGUAUAAUAGUGUCAAUAUACGAAUCUAAUAUAUUAGUAUAUGGUGCAUUCUUUGUAAAUAAUCUAAGGUAUUUUGGUGUAAAAUAAAUAUUUAAUAUAUUUAAAGUGGCAUUCCUAUUACGUAAUAAAAGCACAAUAGUGCUUAUGUGAAUAUACAAAAUCAAUUGAGAAUUCCUUUUGUUUCAUACUUAUGAUGGAUUUGGUUGUUUAACUUGAGGUGACAACUACUUUGUGGUGUUUGGAGAAGGAAAGAAACUAUAAGAUGUGGACAUGUGGCAUUCUUAUCAUACAUUAAGGAAGAUGGAGCAAUUAGAAAGAGCAAAGCUUUCUUUGCUUGAGAAACUUGCGGACCUCCCAAAAGGGUUUUGCCAAGGUCCAUGGCAUGAUUUUGUACUCCUCAAUUUCCCUUCCUAUCCUUCCUAUUCCUGCUGCUGCCGCCAUGGAAAUAGUUUGUCUGAUGAAUCGACCAACCUCAGGUCAAUUCAGGGGAACUGAAGUGCCUUCCCCCCACUUCUUUAUCUCAUCAUGGUCUAACAUUAUCUUUAUCUCUUAUCUUCCUUUUCCCAUAACUUUCUUCAUGUUGUGCUUUGCUAAUUGCUAUGAUAAAAAAAGAGUGGCCCACUCUAGAGAAGCCGUUAACCGUUUUGCUCGGGUAUUUGAGAGUCCAAAUCUCAAAACCGAAACUCUACCCGCCACUUUGAUUUGAAUGUAAUGGGCUGGGCCUUAGCUGCAAACCAAUUCUUUCGGACAAAUCCAUUUUGGAAAUCAAUUUAGCUUUUUGUACAUAAAGUUUGGGUUAAUUGGUUUAUAUUUUAACUGCUGUAUUUUGAUUACUAUUAAUUUAAUCACA